UGACCCUACGGGGCGCAGCAGUAGGGAAUCUUCCACAAUGGGCGAAAGCCUGAUGGAGCAACGCCGCGUGGGAGAAGAAGGUCUUCGGAUCGUAAAACCCUGUUGUUAGAGAAGAAAGUGCGUGAGAGUAACUGUUCACGUUUCGACGGUAUCUAACCAGAAAGCCACGGCUAACUACGUGCCAGCAGCCGCGGUAAUACGUAGGUGGCAAGCGUUAUCCGGAUUUAUUGGGCGUAGAGGGAACGCAGGCGGUAUUUUAAGUCUGAUGUGAAAGGCUUCGGCU
rnacentral:rRNA from 1 species